rnacentral:pre_miRNA from 2 species
GCUCUGCUCUUCCUCUCUAAUCCUUUGUCCCUGGGUGAGAGUGCUUUCUGAAUGCAAUGCACCCAGGCAAGGAUUCUGAGAGGGUGAGCC